UACGAAGGGGGCUAGCGUUGUUCGGAUUUACUGGGCGUAAAGCGCACGUAGGCGGAUCGAUCAGUCAGGGGUGAAAUCCCAGAGCUCAACUCUGGAACUGCCUUUGAUACUGUCGAUCUGGAGUAUGGAAGAGGUGAGUGGAAUUCCGAGUGUAGAGGUGAAAUACGUAGAGAUUGGGAAGAACACCAGUGGCGAAGGCGGCUAUCUGGACGGUUUCUGACGCUAAGACGCGAAAGCGUGGGGAGCAAACAGG
rnacentral:rRNA from 1 species